rnacentral:rRNA from 1 species
UACGUAGGCAGCAAGCGUUGUUCGGAGUUACUGGGCGUAAAGGGUGCGUAGGCGGGUCUUUAAGUCAGGGGUGAAAUCCUGGAGCUCAACUCCAGAACUGCCUUUGAUACUGAAGAUCUUGAGUUCGGGAGAGGUGAGUGGAACUGCGAGUGUAGAGGUGAAAUUCGUAGAUAUUCGCAAGAACACCAGUGGCGAAGGCGGCUCACUGGCCCGAAACUGACGCUGAGGCACGAAAGCGUGGGGAGCAAACAGG